rnacentral:rRNA from 1 species
ACUACGGGUGGCAGCAGUGGGGGAUAUUGCACAAUGGGGGGAACCCUGAUGCAGCGACGCCGCGUGGGUGAAGAAGCGCCUCGGCGCGUAAAGCCCUGUCAGCAGGGAAGAAAAUGACGGUACCUGAAGAAGAAGCCCCGGCUAACUACGUGCCAGCAGCCGCGGUAAUACGUAGGGGGCAAGCGUUAUCCGGAUUUACUGGGUGUAAAGGGGGCGCAGACGGCGAUGCAAGCCAGGAGGGAAAUCCCGGGGCCCCACCCCGGGACUGCUCUUGGAACUGCGUGGCUGGAGUGCAGGAGGGGCAGGCGGAAUUCCUGGUGUAGCGGUGAAAUGCGUAGAUAUCAGGAGGAACACCGGUGGCGAAGGCGGCCUGCUGGACUGCAACUGACGUUGAGGCCCGAAAGCGUGGGGAGCAAACAGGAUUAGAUACCCUGGUAGUC